UGCGAUUUCUCAGCAGCAUUUCGGCGCAGAUAUUUUCCGCGUAAAAUUUGCUGCUUCUCUCUCUCUCUCUCUCUCUCUCUCUCUGUCGAUGGCGGACCCUUACGAGCGCGCGAAAGGAGGGAAAUUGACGUUCAAAGGAGGAGGAGACCCUCUGGAAGAGAAGAGGAGGAAGAAGAAGAAGCAGAAGCUGAAGAGGAAGAAGAAGGAGGAAGGGGAAGAGGAAGACGGGGGAGAAGGAGGAGGAGAAGGAGGCGAGGGCGUAGGCGAGGAGGCGAAGGAGAUGGGCUCUGAAUUGUACACCAUUGACGCCGCCAAGCGGUUGAAGUACGACCAGCUCUUUCCCGUCGAGGCAAAGAAGUUCGGCUACGGCGACCCCUCCCAGAAUCCGCGAUCCGUCGAGGAAGCCCUCGACGAUCGCGUCAAGAAGAAGGCAGAUCGCUACUGCAAGUGAGAAAAGCACACCUGGGUGGACCAAUGGCUGUCAGGCGACCAGUUGCUGGUUCGACUCCCAGGGGUGCUCUGGUCGAUUUUGCUGUUCAGAUUCAAUAGAUCUCAAGGAAAGGGUUUCACAUUGGCUUUACAUUUUGGCAUUCUGGAGAGUCGCUUGUAUUAUUAUCACGUUCUAACUUCAACCAAUCCCUGUUAAACUUUAGAUGGAGAAAGGGUUAUGGAGGGAAUGCCCAUUUGGACAAUUUCAGGACUAUGCUACGUUUCAGCUAUAUCAUAGAUAUGCCCAUAUGGACAAUUUCUGGACUAUGUAAGAUUUCAGCUAUAUCAUAGAUAAAAUAAUUAAAUUUCCCAUUUUCA